rnacentral:rRNA from 1 species
CAAUAGCGUAUAUUAAAGUUGUUGCAGUUAAAAAGCUCGUAGUCGGAUUUUGGCAUCACGCCGAACUGUCUGCCGAUUGGUAAGUACGGUUUGGCGGGUGCUUUUUUCUUGAAGCUCGUUCCCUUCUUAACUGAAGGGUUCGUUGGUUCAGGUUCUUUUACUUUGAGAAAAUUAGAGUGUUCAAAGCAGGCCUAUGCUCUGAAUAGGUUAGCAUGGAAUAAUAGAAUAGGACUUUGGUUCUAUUUUGUUGGUUUCUAGGACCGAAGUAAUGAUUAAUAGGGACAGUUGGGGGCAUUCAUAUUCCAUUGUCAGAGGUGAAAUUCUUGGAUUAACGGAAGAUGAACUUCUGCGAAAGCAUCUGCCAAGGAUGUUUUCAUUGA